GUGAGUAACACUGUGGGUUACCUGCCUCGAUGACUGGGACAACCCGAGGAAACUCGGGCUAAUACUGGAUGUGCCCGCUAAGGGGGAACAGGAAGCUUCGGCCUCCGCAUCGGAGAUGGGCCCGCUGGCCCAUUAGCUUGUUGGUGGGGUAACGGCCCACCAAGGCUCCGAUGGGUAGCUGGUCUGAGAGGACGAUCAGCCACACUGGGACUGAGACACGGCCCAACUCCUACGUGGUAGGCAGCAGUGGGGAAUCUUGCGCAAUGCGCGAAAGCGUGACUGCAGCAACGCCGCGUGGGGGAAGAAGGCUUUCGGGUUGUAAACCCCUUUCAGUUGGGACGAAGGCUUCGCCGAUGAAUAGUCGGCUGGAGUGACGGUACCUUGCACAAGAAGCACCGGCUAACUACGUGCCAGCAGCCGCGG
rnacentral:rRNA from 1 species